rnacentral:ncRNA from 1 species
CGCGUCCUGCGCCGGUCGAAGCCCUGCGUUCCUACGCGGGGUGUUUUCGUAGGCCGGGCAGGAUGCG